UGCCAGCCGCCGCGGUAAUACGGAGGGGACUAGCGUUGUUCGGAAUUACUGGGCGUAAAGAGUACGUAGGCGGUAACGCAAGUUGGGUGUGAAAGCCCGGGGCUCAACCCCGGAACUGCACUCAAAACUGUGUUGCUAGAGAUCGGAAGAGGUAAGUGGAAUUCCCAGUGUAGAGGUGAAAUUCGUAGAUAUUGGGAAGAACACCGGUGGCGAAGGCGGCUUACUGGUCCGAGACUGACGCUGAGGUACGAAAGCGUGGGGAGCAAACAGGAUUAGAUA
rnacentral:rRNA from 1 species